AUAAGUCUUAUAAAAUAUAUAGAUGUAUGAUAAUUGAGACUGAGCUAACAGAUGAGAGUCCUAGUCAUUGGCCAAGCAGCAUUGUAACUAAUACAAGUAUCUCUGUGUAUUCAUUUGGGCCUAACUCGGGCAGGCGGCUGUCGUUCACACGUGGCAGUGGGGCUCAGGCGGCAUUUGGCAGAAACAUUUAUCAUAACACCAAACACUGGGGGACCCAAUUUCAUUUAAAAAAAAAAAGACUGGAUUUAAAGACACAGAUUAACAACAAUCUGUUAAUAGUAGAUGAUUUCUUUUCUUUUUUAAUUUUUAUUUUUUAUUUAAAUUAGAAACAAGCUUCUUUUACAUGUCAAUCUCAGUUCCCUCUCCCUCCCCUACUUCCCCCCCACUGACCCCCCUAUCGCAACCCCUUUCUGCUCCCCAGGGAAGUUGAGGCCUUCCUUUGCGGAUAUUCAAAGUCUGUUAUAUCAUUUGGAGCAGGGCCUAGACCCUACCCAGUGUGUCUAGGCUGCAAGAGUAUCCUCCUAUGAGGAGAGGGCUCCCAAAGUUCAUUUGUGUACUAGGGGUAAAUACUGACCCACUACCAGUGGCCCCAUAGAUUUUCCAGACCUCCAAACUGACCUCCUCCUUCAGGGGGUCUGAAACAGUCCUAUGCUGGUUUCCCAGCUAUCAGUCUGGGGUUCAUGAGCAACCCCUUGUUCAGGCCAGCUGUUUCUUUGGGUUUCUCCAGCCUGAUCUUGACCCCUUUGCUAAUCACUCCUUCCUCUCUGCAACUGGAUUCCAGAGUUCAGCUCAGUGUUUAGCUGUGAGUGCCUGUGUCUGCUUCUGCUUCCAUCAGCUACUGGAUGAAGGCUCUAAGAUGGCGUAUAAGAUUCAAUGGAGCUAAGGAUUCUGGCAUUAAACCUCUGAAGGCUGAACUAAGGAUUCUGGGAUUAAACUUCUGAAGGCUGAGCUAAGGAUUCUGGAAUUAAAUCACUGAAAGCUGAGCAAAGAUAAAGCUCUCCUCCUACCACACAACACCAACAUUGACUCUGCCUCCUUCAUGUCAGACCAGCUCCUAGACUAAGUGCUUCACAGCCAAGCCAGAAGAGAAGCUGGUUGUACCCAGAAGAUACAGCUUCC
rnacentral:lncRNA from 1 species